rnacentral:tRNA from 1 species
GUCCCUGUAGCGUAAUGGAUAGCGCGUUCGACUUCUAAUCCAAAGGUCGUGGGAUAGAAUCCCACCUGGGAUG